CUGCCACAGAUAAGUUGUACUGGUUACAGUGUAAGGACAAUUGUCAAGUGCCAUCAGAGCUUUUUGUAUCCAUCUGUAGAUUGCAGGAUAUGCCAAUGCAUUUUUAGGUAACUACGAGCUACCCUGCAUUCUUGAGGUUGAAUCAAAUGGCUAGAUAGAAUGUAUCUUUCAUAUCAUGCAUGGUAUGGGCUGCUGUCACACAAAUUAAGAUAUAGAGGGUAAUUACCUUCCUUUACAAAAUGUGAAUUCUUUUAAAUCAAUUAAUCUUGCCCAAAUAGUGUAAUCAUUCAUAUUUGUCACUGUGUCCUCAUCACUACUGCUCCUGUGACUCUAAUACCCCCCCAUUAUAAAUAACCUUGUAUGAAAAUUUGUGGUGUGUAACU